UGGACAUAUUAUUGUAUUCGACUGUAUUCAGGCGUGAAACAUGGGAUUAUACUGUUUUUAAACGGAAAGUGAAUCAAUUAACAUAAUAGACUCCU
rnacentral:pre_miRNA from 1 species